rnacentral:rRNA from 1 species
GAUCCUGGCUCAGAUUGAACGCUGGCGGCAUGCCUUACACAUGCAAGUCGAACGGUAACGGGCCUUCGGGUGCCGACGAGUGGCGAACGGGUGAGUAAUGUAUCGGAACGUACCUUUCAGUGGGGGAUAACGUAGCGAAAGUUACGCUAAUACCGCAUAUUCUGUGCGCAGGAAAGCAGGGGGAUCGCAAGACCUUGCGCUGAUUGAGCGGCCGAUAUCAGAUUAGCUAGUUGGUGAGGUAAAGGCUCACCAAGGCGACGAUCUGUAGCGGGUCUGAGAGGAUGAUCCGCCACACUGGAACUGAGACACGGUCCAGACUCCUACGGGAGGCAGCAGGUGGGGUAAUUUUGGACAAUGGGGGCAACCCUGAUCCAGCCAUGCCGCGUGAGUGAAGAAGGCCUUCGGGUUGUAAAGCUCUUUCGGCCGGGAAGAAAUCGUAUCAGCUAAUACCUGGUGCGGAUGACGGUACCGGCAUAAGAAGCACCGGCUAACUACGUG